rnacentral:rRNA from 1 species
UCGCAGAUCAGCAUGCUGUGGUGAAUACGUUCCCGGGCCUUGUACACACCGCCCGUCACACCAUGGGAGUCGGUAACACCCAAAGUUGGUAGUCUAACCGCAAGGAGGACGCCGCCUAAGGUGGGAUUGAUGACUGGGGUGAAGUCGUAACAAGGUACC